rnacentral:rRNA from 1 species
AGUGAACGCUGGCGGUAGGCCUAACACAUGCAAGUCGAACGGCAGCACAGUAAGAGCUUGCUCUUACGGGUGGCGAGUGGCGGACGGGUGAGGAAUACAUCGGAAUCUACUUUUUCGUGGGGGAUAACGUAGGGAAACUUACGCUAAUACCGCAUACGACCUACGGGUGAAAGCAGGGGAUCUUCGUACCUUGCGCGAUUGAAUGAGCCGAUGUCGGAUUAGCUAGUUGGCGGGGUAAAGGCCCACCAAGGCGACGAUCCGUAGCUGGUCUGAGAGGCUGAUCAGCCACACUGGAACUGAGACACGGUCCAGACUCCUACGGGAGGCAGCAGUGGGGAAUAUUGGACAAUGGGCGCAAGCCUGAUCCAGCCAUACCGCGUGGGUGAAGAAGGCCUUCGGGUUGUAAAGCCCUUUUGUUGGGAAAGAAAAGCAGCAGGUUAAUACCCCGCUGUUCUGACGGUACCCAAAGAAUAAGCACCGGCUAACUUCGUG